GCAUAUCAAUAAGCGGAGGAAAAGAAACCAACAGGGAUUACCUCAGUAACGGCGAGUGAAGCGGUAACAGCUCAAAUUUGAAAGCUAGCUCUUCUAGGGUUCGCAUUGUAAUUUGUAGAAGAUGCUUCGGGUGUGGCCCCGGUCUAAGUUCCUUGGAACAGGACGUCAUAGAGGGUGAGAAUCCCGUAUGUGACUGGGUGCUUUCGCUCAUGUGAAGCUCUUUCGACGAGUCGAGUUGUUUGGGAAUGCAGCUCAAAAUGGGUGGUAAAUUUCAUCUAAAGCUAAAUAUUGGCCAGAGACCGAUAGCGCACAAGUAGAGUGAUCGAAAGAUGAAAAGCACUUUGGAAAGAGAGUUAAACAGUACGUGAAAUUGUUGAAAGGGAAGCGCUUGCAACCAGACUUGCGCGCUGAUGAUCAUCCGGGCUUCUGUCCGGUGCACUCGUCUGCGCUCAGGCCAGCAUCGGUUUUGGUGGUGGGAUAAAGGCCUUGGGAAUGUAGCUCCUCUCGGGGAGUGUUAUAGCCCUCGGUGCAAUGCCGCCUACCGGGACCGAGGACCGCGCUUCGGCUAGGAUGCUGGCGUAAUGGUUGUAAGCGACCCGUCUUGAAACACGGACC
rnacentral:rRNA from 1 species